UGCAAUGGGUUCUUUUAUGGAGAAGAGGUA
rnacentral:piRNA from 1 species